UUUGUAUUACGUGCAGAAAUUGUUACCAUUUUCGGUUCAAAAAUGGUAACAAUUUCCGCACGUAAUACAAA
rnacentral:miRNA from 1 species